GCGGCGUGCUUAACACAUGCAAGUCGAACGGAAAGGCCCUGCUUUUGUGGGGUGCUCGAGUGGCGAACGGGUGAGUAACACGUGAGUAACCUGCCCUUGACUUUGGGAUAACUUCAGGAAACUGGGGCUAAUACCGGAUAGGAGCUCCUGCUGCAUGGUGGGGGUUGGAAAGUUUCGGCGGUUGGGGAUGGACUCGCGGCUUAUCAGCUUGUUGGUGGGGUAGUGGCUUACCAAGGCUUUGACGGGUAGCCGGCCUGAGAGGGUGACCGGCCACAUUGGGACUGAGAUACGGCCCAGACUCCUACGGGAGGCAGCAGUGGGGAAUAUUGCACAAUGGGCGGAAGCCUGAUGCAGCAACGCCGCGUGCGGGAUGACGGCCUUCGGGUUGUAAACCGCUUUCGCCUGUGACGAAGCGUGAGUGACGGUAAUGGGUAAAGAAGCACCGGCUAACUACGUGCCAGCAGCCGCGGUGAUACGUAGGGUGCGAGCGUUGUCCGGAUUUAUUGGGCGUAAAGGGCUCGUAGGUGGUUGAUCGCGUCGGAAGUGUAAUCUUGGGGCUUAACCCUGAGCGUGCUUUCGAUACGGGUUGACUUGAGGAAGGUAGGGGAGAAUGGAAUUCCUGGUGGAGCGGUGGAAUGCGCAGAUAUCAGGAGGAACACCAGUGGCGAAGGCGGUUCUCUGGGCCUUUCCUGACGCUGAGGAGCGAAAGCGUGGGGAGCGAACAGGCUUAGAUACCCUGGUAGUCCACGCUGUAAACGGUGGGUACUAGGUGUGGGGUCCAUUCCACGGGUUCCGUGCCGUAGCUAACGCUUUAAGUACCCCGCCUGGGGAGUACGGCCGCAAGGCUAAAACUCAAAGGAAUUGACGGGGCCCCGCACAAGCGGCGGAGCAUGCGGAUUAAUUCGAUGCAACGCGUAGAACCUUACCUGGGUUUGACAUGGAUCGGGAGUGCUCAGAGAUGGGUGUGCCUCUUUUGGGGUCGGUUCACAGGUGGUGCAUGGCUGUCGUCAGCUCGUGUCGUGAGAUGUUGGGUUAAGUCCCGCAACGAGCGCAACCCUUGUUCACUGUUGCCAGCACGUUAUGGUGGGGACUCAGUGGAGACCGCCGGGGUCAACUCGGAGGAAGGUGGGGAUGACGUCAAGUCAUCAUGCCCCUUAUGUCCAGGGCUUCACGCAUGCUACAAUGGCUGGUACAGAGAGUGGCGAGCCUGUGAGGGUGAGCGAAUCUCGGAAAACCGGUCUCAGUUCGGAUUGGGGUCUGCAACUCGACCUCAUGAAGUCGGAGUCGCUAGUAAUCGCAGAUCAGCAACGCUGCGGUGAAUACGUUCCCGGGGCUUGUACACACCGCCCGUCAAGUCAUGAAAGUUGGUAACACCCGAAGCCGGUGGCCUAACCGUUGUGGGGGAGCCGUCGAAGGUGGGACUGGUGAUUAGG
rnacentral:rRNA from 1 species